AUUGAACGCUGGCGGCAGGCCUAACACAUGCAAGUCGAGCGGAUGACGGGAGCUUGCUCCUUGAUUCAGCGGCGGACGGGUGAGUAAUGCCUAGGAAUCUGCCUGGUAGUGGGGGACAACGUUUCGAAAGGAACGCUAAUACCGCAUACGUCCUACGGGAGAAAGCAGGGGACCUUCGGGCCUUGCGCUAUCAGAUGAGCCUAGGUCGGAUUAGCUAGUAGGUGAGGUAAGGGCUCACCUAGGCGACGAUCCGUAACUGGUCUGAGAGGAUGAUCAGUCACACUGGAACUGAGACACGGUCCCGACUCCUACGGGAGGCAGCAGUGGGGAAUAUUGGACAAUGGGCGAAAGCCUGAUCCAGCCAUGCCGCGUGUGUGAAGGAGGUCUUCGGAUUGUAAAGCACUUUAAGUUGGGAGGAAGGGUUGUACGUUAAUACCGUGCAAUUUUGACGUUACCGACAGAAUAAGCACCGGCUAACUCUGUGCCAGCCGCCGCGAUAAGAC
rnacentral:rRNA from 1 species